GGUGUCGCCCGCAGCCCCUUGGGCCGAAGUCUUCCAGCUUCCGAUUCAUGGCUUCGAUUUACUCGGGGCGCUCCCAGUGAGUCCCCGGAAGUCCAGGCGGACCCGCGUGGGGACAUUACCCCUUUGCGGACGCGGCAGGACCUGGGCUGGGCUCGCGAUGCACCCCGUGCCCCAGGGCAGAGCCGGGCAUCCCGGAGCCACUCACUCCGCACCAGGGUCCAACGGAGCUGCCGCCGGGGACCGCCACGCGGCCGCAGUCCCGGGCUAGGGGUGGAGAGUGGCGUGGGGACGCGCCCGGGAGACAGUAUGAGCACUCUGGCCGCUAAAGAAAAAGGCGAACCGAAAACAAAAAAUGCCGAUUUUCCUCCAUUUCGAUCACCGCCCCCUCGCCUUCUCUGUCGGCCACCGAUCAGACCGCAGCUGCUCUCGACUCCGCUAAAACAGAGUCCACUUUUUAAGUGCUUGGUUUAAAGACGGCAGCGCGGCGAGAUUUCACCCUUUGGCCCUGGCGACCCACGAGUGCAGGCCUCGGAGCAGUCUCGACUUACUUCCCCCACAAACCUCCAAGAAGAGGAGAGUACGCUGGGCGGGGGGCACAGAAAGUGCCCUUGGCGUCACGGACACUUUAACUUGUGCCUAAAGAACUUGGAGAAAAGCGUCCAUGCCGGUCACGGAAAGUUGGAAAAUUCCAGUAACGGGAAUAAGGAGGUGAGUGAGGAGGAAUAAGUCUCGGUGAGACACCUUGGGGUGGAUUAUCCCGGACGUCCUUUCCAGAGAAGUCUGGGGUUCAGUCUGGGCGCAAACCAGCACCGGGAGCGGCAGUUCUAAAGGGCGGAGUUGCUGGCUCAGCCCGACCCCAUCUCCGCGCAGCACUUUCUAUCCAUUACCCAGGUCCCUCCUUGAGCUCAGAAGUGGGAAGUUCAAAAGCCUGGGUUGUGCCAUAAAGCAGAUCAGCUGCCGGCCUGGGGAAACCCAUUAAACGCUCCACAAACCUAUUUCCUAAUCAGCAACACGCCGAGGUCGCCUUCGGUCUUGGCUCAAGUAUUUUACAUCUGGGCAACGAUUCCAAGCUGCUUAGAGGAAAAAAAAAGAAGCGCAUCGACCUCGCGUCAUCUCACUAGCUCAGUUUGUAGCGCUCACGACUUCUAAUUUCAAGGUCUUGAGCACUGCCCAGCUUCCAGUGCCUUUUAUUUGGUGGUCUUCGGGCUGGAUACUCUCCGUGGCUGGUGCUUGUGCGGAUUCCCGCCGUGGCCACGAGGGGGCGCGUGGUCCCUUUCCCCUUGGAAAUAGGCUCCCGGGAACCACUCGUUUUUUUCAGUUUGGAUGGUAAAGAACAAUGAAGUACAAUCGAUUCACUUUUUCUGAGGCUGGCAGAAACCCAACAUUUCUUUCUUUCUUUUUUUAACCACCCCAACUCUUGAGUCAAGCAUGGGGGGUUGGUUGCCUAAGUUCAGCUGCCCAGCUCAAAUGAUACCUAAUUCUCUCUGCUGCUUAUCAAACUGUGGGAAAAGGCACAAAGACAACAGGACUUGAAAGUAAUUGAUUUCUUUUGUAAUUUUAAAUGUGUUAUUCUACGCAUUAAAAGACUUAUUCCAAGAA